UCCCUGGUGGUCCAGUGGCUAAGACUCCAUGCUCCCAAAUCAGGGGGCCCAGGUUUGAUCCCUGGCCAGGGAA
rnacentral:tRNA from 1 species